rnacentral:lncRNA from 1 species
AGCCACUGGAUGGAGCAUUCCUUGCACUGUAAUUCCAAAUGGUGUUUUAAUUGCAUCUUCCAUGUAAUGUAAUAAAUAGUGAGGAGAUGGUAACAGACUUUUAAAACUCAAACUUUCCCUUCACCAGACGAGAUUGGUGUUUGAUAGUCCUUGUUACACUCACUUUGUAUUUCUAGACAAAACCUUUUUGCAUUCUCUAUUUCCCUCUCUAGAAGACAUCUGUCUACAUCUUUGUGAUGUUGAAAGGGGGGAUUUGACAAACUGCAACAUUUCUAUUUUGACUUACUGCACCUGUAAAGCCUGGAUGCACCUUGUGUGAUCUGCCAGAAGCUGCCAUGGAGGCAAGGUUGCCAGCACUGGACUGGGUCCUUGGAGGAGCACGGUCCUGGACUCACUGUCUUUGCCUUGAACAUGGAAGAGAAUGUGUCUGAGCUCAUGUUGCUAAAACAUUUGGGUUUGUAUUUAGCAGUGACUAAAGCUGAUAAGAUUCCUGCUGGGAGAAUGGCCUUAACCUAAAUGCUACAGGUCAUGGGAGCAGUGAUGGAGCUCAUGAGCUAAAACACCAGUUUGGCCUUGGCUGACUGGCUCACACUGCUCAGUCUUCAUGGCCCACACAGCCUUGCCUUUGUUUUGCUUUGCAAACUGACCCUGUGAUCACUGCCAGCUGCCAGACCCUGCUCCGUGUUGCUCAGGUGAGCAGCUCCAGCCCAUGGACAGGACCCUGCUCAUACUGGCAGCUCCUGCUCCUUGUGCUGUGCAGAGCCAUGGAUUCACAUCCCAUGGGAAGCAGAUGGCAGCACCCAGUCUCCCCCAGAUCCCUCAUUUCACCCUCUUCCUCCUCCUCCCUGCCCUGCAGAGCUUUCAGGGGCGUGUCUCCAUGAGGUCCCACAAACCAGGAUCUCUGCAAGCAGGAUCAGCCCCUGCCAGGUGCCUGUUGCUGCUAAGUGAAAGUGUAUCUCUGGGCCAGACAGAGGGAGGGAGGAUGGAGGUUCUUCUUGCUCAUGGAGUCAACUGCAGAUUCCACGGAUACUUACGACCCAUGCUCCCAGCACAGAAAGUCCCACAGCCCCUGCUCCUGUCCCUGCUCCUGUCCCUGCUCCUGUCCCUGCUCCCAUCCCUGCUCCCAUCCCUGCUCCCGUCCCUGUUCCCGUCCCUGCUCCCGUCCCUGCUCCCAUCCCUGCUCCCAUCCCUGUUGCCGUCCCUGUUGCCAUCCCUGCUCCCAUCCCUGCUCCCAUCCCUGCUCCCAUCCCUGCUCCCAUCCCUGUUCCCAUCCCUGUUCCCAUCCCUGCUCCCGUCCCUGCUCCCGUCCCUGUUGCCAUCCCUGCUCCCAUCCCUGCUCCCAUCCCUGCUCC